CAUUCCUAUUCUUUUUUUGACUAUUUUCAGUUUUUUUAAAUGCAAGAAUUACAUUCAUUAAAAUAUUUUCUGCUGUUUUUGCAGAAAAUGUGCACUGUUAUAAGACUGAAUGAAUUGAAGGGGAUAAAUGAGUGGGAGAGAGAGAGACAAUUAACAGGCAUCCACACAGAAGAAGGGAGGAGAUUCUAAGAGAACGACGCAGAAAGUAAAUAGAGUUGAAAAGUUGCCUUGAAAAAUGCAGCCAUUAUAUACUUCUUAUAUAAAAACUCAUUCACAUAGCUUAAUGACUAUAGUUUGAGGAUCAAUCAUAUCUAGCUGUGCCGCACAGUGGGGAGGUUCUAGAAGAGCUUCGGUAACAUACUGAGAGACUAAAUGAUUACUCACUGUUGAAAGUACUAGGCACAGCUUACACUUGGUUCACUUGUCUAGCCUUAUUUAAAUUAAGCUUUAAUAACAUCAGUGGAUAACAAGCUAAUCAUUUAUAAUGGGUUAUGAUUGUUCUUUUAUAAUACAUGCAUAAUUGAAUGCUUAUAAUUGUAGGGUUAUCACAUUGGAACACAUAAGUAUGUUAUAGUCAUUAACUGAAAAUGUUGCCAAAUGUGGACAUUUGAUUUGUUGUGACUAUUGAUUGUAAUGAAUGGUCCAUGAGUUUGAACAAGGACCAUGGAAAGAAGUUUGGUUGAUAACUUUCUUUCUUCUUAGUUACAUAAAAAUACUUCUCACUUUCGUUUUAAUGCAAUAAGUAUAAUAAUCAUUUAGUGGGACAUAAUGUCCUAUGGCGUGACACACAUAAAAGUACAAACAAAUGUUUUACCUUAAAGUACCUUAACAAACAGUUGGGUAUUACAUUAGGGGAGAUAUAAUCAUCACUCAUCUUAAAUUGGUAUAAGUUUCAACAGUUUUGAAAGGAUAGCAAAGUGAAUUUGAUCUUUCCUAGGAUUCAUUGGAUGAAACCGAUUCCAACCGGAAAGAAAGCCACUGGUGAACGUGCACGAGAGACAUAAGAUGAGGUGGACAGACUCUGGGUCAAACACAGGGAGAAAGAGAUCGUUAGAUGUCCAGCCAUGUGUCCUUCUGAAGAAAGACAAGAAGGGCACGUUUUUAUCUACAAAAGUGUUAAUGGUUGAAUAAAUGUUUCAGCAAAUAGUUGACCAUUCUAAUGGAAUAGUUUAUAUUGGCUGUAGGCUCUGUAGAUUAUUCUCCUGAGGUAUCCUUAAUGUAUGAGGCUGAGCAUUUACAUCUGAUGUGUAUUAAUAAAUGCAGAAUGUUCUAGAUCAGUCCUCAUUUAUCUCAUUAGUGUAUUACUGAGCAGACUGGUGCAGUGGAUGAUGGGGAGGACCACAUGAGUACUAGCCACCAUACUGCACCGUGAACCAGAGGAGGAUUAGCCACCAUACUGCACCGUGAACCAGAGGAGGAUUAGCCACCAUACUGCACCGUGAACCAGAGGAGGAUUAGCCACCAUACUGCACAGUGAACCAGAGGAGGAUUAGCCACCAUACUGCACAGUGAGGCCAGACUGCCAGAAGAUGGGGCCCAAUGUGGACAUCAUUCACUAACGCCUCAAGAAAGCACAGAAAUACUGAAGACACUAUAUUCAACAACAGACCACUGCAGAGGUCUGACAAGAACUCCCCUGCUUCUCUGUUCCAGUCUUGUCGGACAAGCGUGUUCAAGGCCCAUGUUUCCACAAUGUGACGCACACUAGCCACUAAGCAACCUCAGGACCUGUGGCUCUUCACUGUGGGACUUUAAAUGUAAGGUCAUUAAGCCAUGAUAAAACCUCAUUACAUGAAUGCGGACAUACUCCUCCUUUUUCAAGGAACCCUUAAGCCCGACACCCACAAUCUUCUCAAGCAGCAGUGAUGACAAGCCCCUGGGUGACGAGACGGAUGACGCUGUCACAAUGGAGAGACACAAAGAUGGUGGACUAUGGAGAGGUACUCUUGUCUUUGGCCAAUGAUGGUGGACUAUGGAGAGGUACUCUUGUCUUUGGCCAAUGAUGGUGGACUAUGGAGAGGUACUCUUGUCUUUGGCCAAUGAUGGUGGACUAUGGAGAGGUACUCUUCUCUUUGGCCAAUGAUGGUGGACUAUGGAGAGGUACUCUUGUCUUUGGCCAAUGAUGGUGGACUAUGGAGAGGUACUCUUGUCUUUGGCCAAUGAUGGUGGACUAUGGGGAGGUACUCUUGUCUUUGGCCAAUGAUGGUGGACUAUGGAGAGGUACUCUUGUCUUUGGCCAAUGAUGGUGGACUAUGGAGAGGUACUCUUGUCUUUGGCCAAUGAUGGUGGACUAUGGAGAGGUACUCUUCUCUUUGGCCAAUGAUGGUGGACUAUGGAGAGGUACUCUUGUCUUUGGCCAAUGAUGGUGGACUAUGGGGAGGUACUCUUGUCUUUGGCCAAUGAUGGUGGACUAUGGAGAGGUACUCUUGUCUUUGGCCAAUGAUGGUGGACUAUGGAGAGGUACUCUUGUCUUUGGCCAUGGGUGUUGUGCUGGCCCUCUAUCAUGUCUACAACAUUGCAUCUCCCUGUCGGCUAAAGGAAACAUUUUCAUUUUUGUAGGCGUUUAUCUUGAACCUUGAUACUCUAACAACACGUGUACCUGUAGCUGUGCAGAAAGUUAAAAAUGCCCUGAAUAUUUCAUAAAAAUCAAUUUUGUAUGGUAUUAGGGGUUUAUGUACUCCUAAAAUAACUAAUAAUCUGUAAAAGUAUAAUUUUCACCUGGACAUGAUUUUUUAUCUCUACAAUUCCAUUCAUAUGCAAAAUAAAUGAAUUGAGAAUGAAACUGCUAUAUUCUUCCUUCCUUCCUUCAUCAGCCCUAACCUAGAACUCAAAAGCAUAGGGGUUUGCAUGCUUGUGCAAAUAGUAGCAGUAGAUUAUUUCUUUAUUUUUACCGUUGGCAGACAAAUCAUUUAUUUAGCCUUUGAAAAUAUAAAUUUAAAGCUUUAAUGUUAAAAAAUAGUGAUUGGGAAAUGAUGUGUAAGUAUCUUUUGUAAAUGUGAAAAUGGUGAUGAUUUCUUGGGGGGGUUGAAUACUUUUGCAAACCACUGGAUCUCCUGCAGAGGAGGUACCCCUGACUGGUGUGGCUUUAGCUUCUCCUUCACAAGCUGAAGUAAGAAAGAGUGGAAGAAGCAGCUACUCCUGUCCAUUCUAAGCCCUCUAACAUCAAAACACAUCAAAAUGCACAGAAGACACAGGAACUAUGCACCGUCAUAAAUGAGUCAUUGCGGUAGGUCUGUAACAACAACAU
ensembl:lncRNA